UUUAUGGACGGUUUUACGCAAGGUGUAAUUUACGUGCACCGAUUUUAAACUGUUAAUUUUUAUCUUCCAACGUUUCGUCCAGUUGGAAACGUUGUUGAUAGACCUUUGAAGCCAAUCAGUCGCAGUGUGCUGGUCUUCAUUUUUUGUCAUUAUUGCCGUGUCAUCAGCAAACAUGGCUGUCAUUGAAUAGUUGUUGGUUGGUCCGCUAUGUAGAGUAAGUACAGAAUUGGUCCAAAGACGUUUUUCUGUUGUACACCUGCCGAUAUGUUUUUCCAAUCAUUUAAUGCUUCUUCAUGAAUGACCCUGAAUUGACAUUCAGUCAGGUAGGAUUCGAAAAGUGCGCACUAGGUGUGUGGCAGCUGUUCACGUUGUUUUAUAAGUAAUCCUU